CCGGGAAGCCCAAUCCCGGCGCAGGGCUGGCGGGCCAGCAGAGCCAAGGGGCGGGGCCGAAGCGCUCUGCCCAGCCGAGGAGGGGCGGUACCAAGCGGAGAAGUGACACUCCCGGCGUGCAAUCCCGUUGCGACCCCGGCGAUCUGGAUUGAAAAGAAAAAUAAUCAUUGACAAUAAAUCUUCACCAUCACAUCAUCCAAGCAGUUGACUAGAAGACAGUUUUUGGAUAAGGACAUUUCUAUGCUGCUAUCUAGUGUAACUCUUUCAAGAGGAACCGCUACCACCAUCAAGAAAAAAAUAUCACAUGUAUCGCACAAUCUGUUCCAGGCUCAAACCGUCAUGUGCCUAAAUUGAUGCUUUGGCUAGGGGAGCUGCAGCUAUCCCAUUCUAACAACAUUCAUACAUUAUACACAGGUCAAAUAUUUCCUUUGCCCAUUCACUAACAAGUGGCUUCAUUGUUUGUUUAAAUAUGAACCGGGGGGGGGGGGGGGGUAAUAAUCUGUGCGUUUAGACCUCAAAGUGGUAGUACUAUGUUACUGUAGAAAAUAAUUGCCUUCCUCAACAAGUAGCCAGAAAAUAUGACUUCAGAAUCUAUAUGCAUUCACUGAACAACGUUACUAGUGAUGUGAUGAGUUAUUGCUUUCAUACCAGAAAUACAUCCACAUACAGAUUUUCUGCCCUGCCGUUGUCCGUGUCGCUGCCCCGCAUUUUCCAAAAAGGCUACCCUUUGCUGCAGUUCUUCCCUUUGGAGGAACAGGGGAGAACCUGAUGGCAACUAUAUGCCGCCCCCCGCGCCACAAUCAAAGCCCUCCCAUCAGGUGGCCAUGCCGCCUCUGCUGAAAAACCUCCAGAGAAGGAGACUCCACCAGACUCUAAGGACCUUUCUAGACAGGGCCCUAAAUGCGGGCCCUGUUUGACUUUUACCGGAGGCAUCCAAAUUUCACCUCUGGUAAAAGAGGAUUAAUUCAGGACAAAGUAGGUAAACCGGAAAGGCCUGGGUUAAAUGGAGUAUGGGCACUGUGAGGACUAACUACUGGCAGUCUUGCGACUAGCCAGGGUUCAGUCCCCACAGUCCAUCCUGGUUCUUCGGGCUGCAUGAGCCCAGAGAACAGAGAAGGCCACCCCCCUCCCCAUCCCCCCAAAAGCCCUUAGAAUAAGAAAAAAACCUACUGGGCUCCCAUGACUUCUCUCCAGAAGCCUCCUGGCACAUAGAAAUUACGCACCAAGAGGCAGGGGGACUAAAUCACUCUUCCCCCUGCUUCCUGGUGCUUCAUUUCUACGUGCCAGGAGGCCUCUGGAGAGGCAUCAUGGCAACCAGGUAAGUUUUCUUGUAAUUUAAGGGCAUUUGGGGUUUUUUUUUGUGGGUUAUUUAUUUUGUGUCAAAAGCAUUGCAUAACAAAAUACAUUUUAAAAUGAUUUUUAAAAAGGAAAUCACAAGCACCUAAAUAGUUUUAGAUCAAAAGCGGGCAACAGCAACCGCAUUGUCCGUAGCUUUAAGCAACUCCUCCUCUGUACAUGAGGCAGGACAUUGUGGGCAAGCAUACAUACAUAUGUGGAGUUGUUUGUUCUGCUCCACAGUCACACAAGGUGGAGGAUUCCUCCAGGUAGUGCCAUCUUGCCAGGUUGUCUUUUGAUCUGCCCACUCAACUUCUGAGUCUGUUCAGAGACUUCCAAGUUGCCCAUUCUUGGUUUGCCCCUGGAGGAGGACCCUCAUGGGGGGCCAUCCAGUUAGAAUUGCCAGGUUUAGCUGCCCAGAGGGACACCCUUGCUGCUGCUGGAGGAACAUCAAGAGGAAUGGUGGUUCUCAUGAAGCCCUUCCUUGAUUUGAGUCUGGUAGGCUCCAUGUUACUGUGGUACUUGUGAUGGCAUGGGGACAGCCUGCUGGGAAAGCCCAGGUUUUAGGGAGAGGUGUGGGACAGAAAUGCAUGCCAAAGCAAGAACCCACUUUGAUGUGCAUUUCUGUGAAGUAUGGAAGUGUCCUGAGGCAGCAUAUGCCAUUGUCUGGAACAACUUGAAGGCACACAAUGAAAACCAUAGUAAUUAACUUGAUGGGGUUUUUUGCACUACAAAUAAGACAUACGGUAUGCAGUGUGCAUAGGACUUGGUUCAUUUUUUCCCCAAACUAUAGUCUGGUCCCUCAACAGGCUUAGGGACCAUGAAUUGGCCCUCAGAUUAAAACUAUUGGACACCCCUGCCUUAAAAGAAGUUCUCCAAAUAAUAGCAAACUAGAGAGCUUGGCCUUGACACAAGAAUGUUUGAUUCAUUAUAUUAAAAGACUCAUUCCAUUCCACAUUUGGACUUCGUAUGCUUGAUUCUGUGUUCAGAGUCUGGGCUUCCCUAAGGUACUAUCACUUGGUUAAAUACACAUAUGAAUGAGUUUUAAAGUACACCUUUCCACAAGUCAGCUGUUGCAAAUGUUAUGUUUUUAAGAAAUAUAUUUUAAAAAUGCACAUCAACAGAAGAGGAAUGCUACAUAAAAAGUAUCAUUAAAACUGAACAAGAUGCACAGUGAGCUUUUGCCUAUAUAAAAAAUAUCAACAAUAGACACUGCUUAGUUUUAAAAAAAUACAUUGCAAAAUUAAAAUUGCCAUAUUUACCUGGAAAAUGAUGGUGAAAUUAUAUUUUGAGGAAAUAAAAGACUCUUCAUUUCA